CACUAGGUGAAUGAUCUGUACUACCAC
rnacentral:piRNA from 1 species